UACGAAGGGGGCUAGCGUUGUUCGGAAUUACUGGGCGUAAAGCGCGCGUAGGCAGUUUUGCAAGCCAGAGGUGAAAUGCCUGAGCUCAACUUAGGAAUUGCCUUUGGGACUGCGAGGCUUUGAGGACUGGAGAGGUGAGUGGAAUUCCCAGUGUAGAGGUGAAAUUCGUAGAUAUUGGGAAGAACACCAGUGGCGAAGGCGGCUCACUGGCCAGUUUCUGACGCUGCAGCGCGAAAGCGUGGGGAUCAAACAGG
rnacentral:rRNA from 1 species